UCGGUAGCUCAGUAGGUAGAGCAGAGGACUGAAAAUCCUCGUGUCGGCGGUUCAAUUCCGCCCUGAG
rnacentral:tRNA from 1 species